CGUGGUGAUCACUGGAGGCAGACGUUUGAAGUUAGCUACCUCUUGAUUCAGUCUCACUGGUUGGAUUCUACCAAUCUCGCUUUCUAAAUGCUGGAGUAAGGAAGAGCUAUAUGCAUAAAGUGAUGCAAUAGAUCUACCUCGGCUGACUCAGGAGACAAAUACAAGCCUGUGAGGAAUGGGAGAAAUUGGUCACUGCUGCAUUUGGUGCCCCAUAUUGGCUAUGCUCGUACAAUGAGCUGAUCUUGCCUCAAGACCAGCAGCUGGAGCGCUGUCUGUGUCUGCAGCUUAUUCAUACGAUCCAGGUUUGUGAGAAAGGAAUGUGUCAGCUUCUGCUUUUCCGGACCACCUAAAAGCAACCUG